rnacentral:rRNA from 1 species
GCUGCGCGGCGUGCCUAAUAAUGCUCGUCGAGCGGACCGACGGGAGCUUGCUCCCUUAGGUCAGCGGCGGACGGGUGAGUAACACGUGGGUAACCUGCCUGUAAGACUGGGAUAACUCCGGGAAACCGGGGCUAAUACCGGAUGCUUGAUUGAACCGCAUGGUUCAAUCAUAAAAGGUGGCUUUUAGCUACCACUUACAGAUGGACCCGCGGCGCAUUAGCUAGUUGGUGAGGUAACGGCUCACCAAGGCGACCAUGCGUAGCCCACCUGAGAGGGUGAUCGGCCACACUGGGACUGAAACACGGCCCAGACUCCUACGGGAGGCAGCAGUAGGGAAUCUUCCGCAAUGGACGAAAGUCUGACGGAACAACGCCGCGUGAGUGAUGAAGGUUUUCGGAUCCUAAAACUCUGUUGUUAGGGAAGAACAAGUACCGUUCGAAUAGGGCGGCACCUUGACGGUACCUAACCAGAAAGCCACGGCUAACUACGUGCCAGCAGCCGCCGUAAUACGUAGGUGGCAAGCGUUGUCCGGAAUUAUUGGGCGUAAAGCGCGCGCAGGCGGUUUCUUAAGUCUGAUGUGAAAGCCCCCGGCUCAACCGGGGAGGGUCAUUGGAAACUGGGGAACUUGAAUGCAGAAGAAGAGAGUGGAAUUCCACGUGUAGCGGUGAAAUGCGUAGAGAUGUGGAGGAACACCAAUGGCGAAGGCGACUCUCUGGUCUGUAACUGACGCUGAAGCGCGAAAGCGUGGGG